GCCAUUGCAGCGUAGUGAUUUGAAUGUUGGACUACAACUCCGAAGACCAGGGUUCGAUCCCCAGCUCAGCCA